CGAACGCUGGCGGCGUGCUUAACACAUGCAAGUCGAACGGGCCCGCCCCUGUUUUUGGGGGUGGGUUGAGUGGCGAACGGGUGAGUAUCACGUGAGUAACCUGCCCCCUGCUCCUGGAUAACUGCUUGAAAGGGCGGCUAAUACGGGGUGUGCCGGCUGGUCCGCAUGGGCCUGGUCGGGAUAGUUUCAUCUUCGGGUGUUUCGGUGGGGGAUGGGCUCGCGGCCUAUCAGCUUGUUGGUGGGGUGAUGGCCCACCAAGGCGGUGACGGGUAGCCGGCCUGAGAGGGUGGGCGGCCACACUGGGACUGAGACACGGCCCAGACUCCUGCGGGAGGCAGCAGUGGGGGGUAUUGCACAAUGGGCGGAAGCCUGAUGCAGCGACGUCGCGUGAGGGAUGGAGGCCUUCGGGUUGUGAACCUCUUUCUCCGGUGGUGAAGGCCCUGUCCGUUGCGGCGGGGUUGACGGUAGCCGGGUAUGAAGCGCCGGCUAACUACGUG
rnacentral:rRNA from 1 species